rnacentral:rRNA from 1 species
AGUGAACGCUGGCGGUAGGCCUAACACAUGCAAGUCGAACGGCAGCACAGUAAGAGCUUGCUCUUACGGGUGGCGAGUGGCGGACGGGUGAGGAAUACAUCGGAAUCUACUUUUUCGUGGGGGAUAACGUAGGGAAACUUACGCUAAUACCGCAUACGACCUACGGGUGAAAGCAGGGGAUCUUCGGACCUUGCGCGAUUGAAUGAGCCGAUGUCGGAUUAGCUAGUUGGCGGGGUAAAGGCCCACCAAGGCGACGAUCCGUAGCUGGUCUGAGAGGAUGAUCAGCCACACUGGAACUGAGACACGGUCCAAACUCCUACGGGAGGCAGCAGUGGGGAAUAUUGGACAAAGGGCGCAAGCCUGAUCCAGCCAAACCGCGUGGGUGAAGAAGGCCUUCGGGUUGUAAAGCCCUUUUGUUGGGAAAGAAAAGCAGCAGGUUAAUACCCCGCUGUUCUGACGGUACCCAAAGAAUAAGCACCGGCUAACUUCGUG